UACGUAGGGGGCAAGCGUUGUCCGGAUUUAUUGGGCGUAAAGAGCGUGUAGGCGGCUUUACAGGUCCGUUGUGAAAACUCGAGGCUCAACCUCGAGACGCCGGUGGAAACCGUAAGGCUAGAGUCCGGAAGAGGAGAGUGGAAUUCCUGGUGUAGCGGUGAAAUGGCGCAGAUAUCAGGAAGAACACCCGUGGCGAAGGCGGCUCUCUGGGACGGUAC
rnacentral:rRNA from 1 species